AACGAACGCUGGCGGCAUGCCUAACACAUGCAAGUCGAACGAGAUCUUCGGGUCUAGUGGCGCACGGGUGCGUAACGCGUGGGAAUCUGCCCUUUGGUUCGUAAUAACAGUUGGAAACGACUGCUAAUACCGGUUGAUGACGGAAGUCCAAAGAUUUAUCGCCAGAGGAUGAGCCCGCGUAGGAUUAGCUAGUUGGUGUGGUAAAGGCGCACCAAGGCGACGAUCCUUAGCUGGGCUGAGAGGAUGAUCAGCCACACUGGGACUGAGACACGGCCCAGACUCCUACGGGAGGCAGCAGUGGGGAAUAUUGGACAAUGGGCGAAAGCCUGAUCCAGCAAUGCCGCGUGAGUGAUGAAGGCCUUAGGGCUGUAAAGCUCUUUUACCCGGGAUGAUAAUGACAGUACCGGGAGAAUAAGCUCCGGCUAACUCCGUGCCAGCCGCCGCGGUAA
rnacentral:rRNA from 1 species